rnacentral:rRNA from 1 species
GAUGAACGCUGGCGGCGUGCCUAAUACAUGCAAGUCGAGCGAACAGACGAUGAGCUUGCUCCUCUGACGUUAGCGGCGGACGGGUGAGUAACACGUGGAUAACCUACCUAUAAUUCUGGGAUAACUUCGGGAAACCGGAUCUAAUACCGGCUAAUAUAUUGCACCGCAUGGUUUAUUAGUAAAAUACGGUUUUUCUGUCACUUAUAUAUGCUUCCGCGCCGCAUUAUCUAGUUGGUAAGGUAACGGCAUACCAAGUGAACGAUGCGUAGACGAAGUGAGAGGGUGAUCGGACACACUGGAACGGAGACACGGAACAGACUACUACGGGAGGCAGCAGAAGGGAAUGGUACGCAAUGGGAGAAAGGCUGACGGAGAAAAGCCACGUGAGGGAUGAAGAUCUGGGGAUCGUAAAACUCUGUUACUAGGGAAGAACAAAAGUGGAAGUAACUAGGCACGGAUUGACGGUACCUAAUCAGAAAGCAACGGCUAACUACGUG